rnacentral:lncRNA from 1 species
CCAGCUACUCAGGAGGCUGAGGCAGGAGAAUCACUUGAACCCAGGAGGCGGAGAUUGCAGUGAGCUAAGAUCGGGCCACUGCACUCCAGCCUGGGGGACAGAGCGAGACUCCAUCUCAGAAAAAAAAAAAAAAAAAAAAGCCCAGCUGACAUUUUCCAGUUUUGUUUUGUUUUCUGGGGUUUUUUUGUUUUGUUUUGUUUUGUUUUGUUUUUUAGUAGAGACGGGGUUUCACCAUGUUGGCCAGGCUGGUCUUGAACUCCUGACCUCAGGUGAUCCUCCCGCCUAGGCCUGGGAUUACAGGCGUGAGCCACUGGGUCCGGCCUGCUUUUUUUUUUUUUUUUUUUUUUUUGGAGACGGAGUCUCACUCUGUCACCCAGGCUAGAGUGCAGUGGCACAAUCACAGCUCAUUGCAGCCUGGACCUCCCCGAGACUGAGGUGUUCUCACCUUAGCCUCCCGAAUAGCUGGGAAUACAGGCAUCUGUCACCAC